rnacentral:rRNA from 1 species
GAUGAACGCUGGCGGCGUGCCUAAUACAUGCAAGUCGAGCGAACAGACGAGGAGCUUGCUCCUUGGACGUUAGCGGCGGACGGGUGAGUAACACGUGGAUAACCUACCUAUAAGACUGGGAUAACUUCGGGAAACCGGAGCUAAUACCGGAGAAUAUAUUGAACCGCAGGGUUGAAUAGUGAAAGACGGUUGUGCGGUCACGUAUAGAUGGAUCCGCGCCGCAUUAGCUGGUUGGCAGGUUAACGGCUUACCAAGGGGACGAUGCGUUGCCGACGGGUGGGGGUGUUCGCCGCCUCUGGAGGUGACCGGCGGUCCUGGCUCUUACGGGCGGCCGCGGUUGCUACUCUUCCGAGCAGUGCGAAAGCCUGACGGAGCGACGCAGCGUGAGUGAUGCAGCGCUUCGGGUCGUAUAACGCUGUUCUUGGUGUAAACCAAAUGUGUAUGUAACGAAGCGCGUCUUGCCGGUACCGAUACAGAAGGCCCCGGCUACCUCCUU